GACGAGCGGCGGACGGGUGAGUAAUGCCUGGGAACAUGCCUUGGUGUGGGGGAUAACCAUUGGAAACGAUGGCUAAUACCGCAUAACGUCUACGGACCAAAGAGGGGGACCUUCGGGCCUCUCGCGCCAAGAUUGGCCCAGGUGGGAUUAGCUAGUAGGUGGGGUAACGGCUCACCUAGGCGACGAUCCCUAGCUGGUCUGAGAGGAUGAUCAGCCACACUGGAACUGAGACACGGUCCAGACUCCUACGGGAGGCAGCAGUGGGGAAUAUUGCACAAUGGGGGAAACCCUGAUGCAGCCAUGCCGCGUGUGUGAAGAAGGCCUUCGGGUUGUAAAGCACUUUCAGUAGGGAGGAAGGCAGUGUCGUUAAUAGCGGCAUUGUUUGACGUUACCUACAGAAGAAGCACCGGCUAACUCCGUGCCAGCAGCCGCGGUAAUACGGAGGGUGCGAGCGUUAAUCGGAAUUACUGGGCGUAAAGCGCAUGCAGGCGGCUUGUUAAGCCAGAUGUGAAAGCCCGGGGCUCAACCUCGGAAUAGCAUUUGGAACUGGCAGGCUAGAGUCUUGUAGAGGGGGGUAGAAUUUCAGGUGUAGCGGUGAAAUGCGUAGAGAUCUGAAGGAAUACCGGUGGCGAAGGCGGCCCCCUGGACAAAGACUGACGCUCAGAUGCGAAAGCGUGGGGAGCAAACAGGAUUAGAUACCCUGGUAGUCCACGCCGUAAACGAUGUCUACUUGGAGGCUGUUCCCUUGAGGAGUGGCUUUCGGAGCUAACGCGUUAAGUAGACCGCCUGGGGAGUACGGUCGCAAGAUUAAAACUCAAAUGAAUUGACGGGGGCCCGCACAAGCGGUGGAGCAUGUGGUUUAAUUCUAUGCAACGCGAAGAACCUUACCUACUCUUGACAUCCAGAGAACUUAGCAGAGAUGCAUUGGUGCCUUCGGGAACUCUGAGACAAGUGCUGCAUGGCUGUCGUCAGCUC
rnacentral:rRNA from 1 species